GGAGAUUUCUGCUUAUCUAAGGCCUUGUAAAGCAAAUGCAUGGUCCAGUAGAACCCCCUUGUCUAAUGGGAUCCAUUCUGCCUGGCAGCAUUUUGGUGUUCCCUCAGAGGAUUCUGAAUAUUAGUCAGCACUGUACAAAAUAGAGACACUGUCAAGGCCGUUCUUCACUUGCAGCACUGCAGCAUUGGCAGAUAUAACCAAGAUGAAUGUUGCUCCAACUGAACUUGACUGGGGCAAUGCAGUUAAUGAUGACCCCAAGAGUUUAUUGGGUGUGUCAAUGUCGAUGUAUUUUCUCAGAGCAUGAGCACUUCAAUCCAUCAGAAUGGUAGCCUGAAUCUAAUGGCAGCAGAAGGAUAUUUGCAAAGACUGGAGCCCGAUAAUUUUUAUUUUUUGUUCUGGUUGAGGACUAGAAUUCCUUGAAAA